GGCGUCAUCUGCAGCAUUUAGUCCUGA
rnacentral:sRNA from 1 species